rnacentral:rRNA from 1 species
ACGAACGCUGGCGGCGUGCUUCACACAUGCAAGUCGAACGGAAAGGCCCUGCUUUUGUGGGGUGCUCGAGUGGCGAACGGGUGAGUAACACGUGAGUAACCUGCCCUUGACUUUGGGAUAACUUCAGGAAACUGGGGCUAAUACCGGAUAGGAGCUCCUGCUGCAUGGUGGGGGUUGGAAAGUUUCGGCGGUUGGGGAUGGACUCGCGGCUUAUCAGCUUGUUGGUGGGGUAGUGGCUUACCAAGGCUUUGACGGGUAGCCGGCCUGAGAGGGUGACCGGCCACAUUGGGACUGAGAUACGGCCCAGACUCUUACGGGAGGCAGCAGUGGGGAAUAUUGCACAAUGGGCGGAAGCCUGAUGCAGCAACGCCGCGUGCGGGAUGACGGCCUUCGGGUUGUAAACCGCUUUCGCCUGUGACGAAGCGUGAGUGACGGUAAUGGGUAAAGAAGCACCGGCUAACUACGUG